GAUGAACGCUGGCGGCGUGCCUAACACAUGCAAGUCGAGCGAACAGACGAGGAGGUUGCUCCUCUGACGUUAGCGGCGGACGGGUGAGUAAAACGUGGAUAACCUACCUAUAAGACUGGGAUAACUUCGGGAGACCGGAGCUAAUACCGGAUAAUAUAUUCAACCGCAUGGUUCAAUAGUGAAAGACGGUUUUGCUGUCACUUAUAGAUGGAUCCGCGCCGCAUUAGCUAGUUGGUAAGGUAACGGCUUACCAAGGCAGCGAUGCGUAGCCGACCUGACAGGGGGAACGGCGCCACUGGGACUGAGACGCGGUACAGAGUCUGACGUGCGGCAGCAGUAGGGAAGCUUGCGCAAUGGGGGGAAGCUUGACGGAGCAGCGGCGCGUUAGUGAAGAAGCUCUGCGGGUCGGAUGACGGUGUUAUUGUGGAAGAACGCUUGCAGAAGGAGCGAUGCAUGUGUUGACGGUACCUACACAGGAAGCAACGGCUAACUACGUG
rnacentral:rRNA from 1 species